rnacentral:lncRNA from 1 species
CUAGGACAACAUACUUCACAAAGUAGGUACUCACAAAAUCAAUACUAUAUUGUAGGAUAUCAGGAUCACCUCAGAGCCAUUAAAACUGUUGCCUGCACCCCUUCCUUCCAGGACCUCCCAGCCACACCCCCCCUGCCCCCCACAUCCCCGGCCACAGGCACUACCCUGGCCUUUUCAUUCUCUAAAGUCCUGCAGCCUCUCUUAUCUGUGAUAGCAGUCUUUGACACAAUUCUGGAAUCAGAGAGAAGAUAUAGUUGGGAGGGAUCUUCAGGCACAGGAAAAUCACUUCACCUCUCUGCUUUCGUUUCUUCCUUGUAAAAUGCCUUCCUUUGCUUCUUCACCAUUUCUAGAGUAUGUGUCUUAUUUUCCCAUCAAAUUCUGUGUUCAUGGAACACUUGUGCUCUGGCCUUGAAAAUCUUCUCUUUCCUACGAAGUGUGAAGCACUAUCUUUUGCACAUAGGAAGGGCUCCGUAUCCAGCUAUGAUUGAAUGAAUAGAGGAUUAAAUGUUAGAUUGCACAUAUCGGGGCUUUAUCCUGUGCUCAAAACUCUGCUGAUCACUUCACAUGCGUCGCAUAAUUUAAUCUGCUUCGCAAGCCUACUUCUAUUUUAUGCUUGUACCAAAACAUAAAGAGAUUAGUAAACAUGACCAAACCGGGAUUUGAACCCAGGUAGUCUGGCUCCUGACUUAAUUACUAUGCUGCAUGGCGGAAACAAAGGGUAGCACGUAUUGUACUGAACUCGGCUGACUUGUAGCAUGUCUUCAAAGAUUUAGAAUACGUGGGUCACUUCCUUCAGCAGGUCCAGCUGCACCUGCACCAGGGAACUUCUCACCCUUUCAGCAGGUGGACAGGAAGCCCCAGGGGUAGAGACAUGCUCAGUGAAGCGAGUGACCUACAAUUUGAGGAUGGUGGCAAUCCCAGGCACCCCUGUUGCAUAACACUCCUCUGAGAGCCAGGCCCACAUGGGACUCACCUAAACAGGCACAAGACACGGCCUUCCUGCCAACCUGCACUUCCUCUGCAGGCAGCUCAAGAGUCUCCCCUGAGCGCCGGACUUUGUCUCAUAUAUUCUGCAUCCUGGUGUUAAGUCAAGACCCCUGUACAUGUCAGAUGAACGGCCAGCUGCUCCAGGAGAACCUUCUGAAGGAAGGAGGACCAGAGUUGGAGUCAGCCGAUAAACACUUGGAAAAUACAAGGAGAGUUACACUGGGAUGGACAUUCGUACGGGGGUGGAAGGUAGCCCUCCUUUUCAUCUAAAACAUCAAUCCAAAUUAAGAGCAGGACAUCCCAAUGCUGUUCUAAAAUACUAGAAUGGAUGAAUGUCAGAUGAAGAGCCCAGAAACCUGGGUUCUUGUCCUCACUUUUUAAGUAAUUUAUCCCAUCGCAUCCCCUCUCUGAAAAGAAUGAAGUUUGGCUGUCUGAGAAGUGGGUGGGUGGAGCUUGGUCCGUCUCUGCAACACCCUCAACUCUCAAAUUCUCAAAGAAUAAAUUGUUAACAUCCCUGCCCA